rnacentral:rRNA from 1 species
UACGUAGGAGGCGAGCGUUGUCCGGAAUUACUGGGCGUAAAGCGCACGUAGGCGGAUUGUUAAGUCGGGGGUGAAAUCCCGGAGCCCAACUCCGGAACUGCCUUCGAUACUGACGAUCUUGAGUCCGGGAGAGGUGAGUGGAACUGCGAGUGUAGAGGUGAAAUUCGUAGAUAUUGGGAAGAACACCGGUGGCGAAGGCGGCGACCUGGUCCUUGACUGACGCUGAGGCGCGAAAGCGUGGGGAGCAAACAGG